rnacentral:rRNA from 1 species
UACGAAGGGUGCAAGCGUUAAUCGGAAUUACUGGGCGUAAAGCGUGCGUAGGCGGUUUCUUAAGUCUGCUGUGAAAUCCCCGGGCUCAACCUGGGAAUGGCAGUGGAUACUGGGAGGCUAGAGUGUGUCAGAGGAUGGUGGAAUUCCCGGUGUAGCGGUGAAAUGCGUAGAGAUCGGGAGGAACAUCAGUGGCGAAGGCGGCCCCCUGGGUUAACACUGACGCUCAGGCACGAAAGCGUGGGGAGCAAACAGG